AUUUGUUUUCCAACAGCAUUGCCUUUCUACCUGAAGGAGUAUUUUUGAAUUUGAAAAAGUUGGAGACGCUGGAUUUGUCUUCAAACAACAUUUCCUCUCUACCAGAAGGAGUAUUUUUGACAUUAAAAACGUUGGAGAGGCUGGAUUUGUCUUCCAACAAAGUUGUCUCUUUAUCCACAAA